rnacentral:lncRNA from 1 species
GUAGGUAGCCUAGUGGUUAGAGUGUAGGGGAGGCAGGUAGCCUAGUGGUUAGAGUGUAGAGGAGGCAGGUAGCCUAGUGGUUAGAGUGUAGAGGAGGCAGGUAACCUAGUGGUUAGAGUGUAGAGGCGGCAGGUAGCCUAGUGGUUAGAGUGUAGGGGAGGCAGGUAGCCUAGUGGUUAGAGUGUAGAGGCGGCAGGUAGCCUAGUGGUUAGAGUGUGGUGGUGGCAGGUAGCCUAGUGGUUAGAGUGUAGAGGAGGCAGGUAGCCUAGUGGUUAGAGUGUAGAGGAGGCAGGUAGCCUAGUGGUUAGAGUGUAGGGGAGGCAGGUAGCCUAGUGGUUAGAGUGUAGAGGCGGCAGGUAGCCUAGUGGUUAGAGUGUAGUGGUGGCAGGUAGCCUAGUGGUUAGAGAGUAGAGGUGGCAGGUAGCCUAGUGGUUAGAGUGUAGAGGUGGCAGGUAGCCUAGUGGUUAGAGUGUAGAGGUGGCAGGUAGCCUAGUGGUUAGAGUGUAGAGGUGGCAGGUAGACUAGUGGUUAGAGUGUAGAGGAGGCAGGUAGCCUAGUGGUUAGAGUGUAGGGGAGGCAGGUAGCCUAGUGGUUAGAGUGUAGAGGAGGCAGGUAGCCUAGUGGUUAGAGUGUAGAGGAGACAGGUAGCCUAGUGGUUAGAGUGUAGAGGAGGCAGGUAGCCUAGUGGUUAGAGUGUAGAGGAGGCAGGUAGCCUAGUGGUUAGAGUGUAGGGGCGGCAGGUAGCCUAGCGGUUAGAGUGUAGGGGCGGCAGGUAGCCUAGUGGUUAGAGGUAGUAGAGGUACUAGAGGUACAGGAGGAAGUAGAGGUACUACAGGAGGAUGUAGAGGUACUACAGGAGGUACUACAGGGGGUAGUAGAGGUACUACAGGAGGUACUACAGGGGGUAGUAGAGGUACUACAGGAGGAAGUAGAGGUACUACAGGGGGUAGUAGAGGUACUACAGGAGGUACUAGAGGAGGAAGUAGAGGUACUAGAGGAGGAAGUAGAGGUACUACAGGGGGUAGUAGAGGUACUACAGGAGGUACUAGAGGAGGAAGUAGAGGUACUAGAGGAGGAAGUAGAGGUACUAGAGGAGGAAGUAGAGGUACUAGAGGAGGAAGUAGAGGUACUAGAGGAGGUACUAGAGGAGGAAGUAGAGGUACUACAGGAGGUACUAGAGGAGGAGGUAGAGGUACUACAGGAGGUAGUAGAGGUACUAGAGGAGGUAGUAGAGGUACUACAGGAGGUAGUAGAGGUACUAGAGGAGGUACUACAGGAGGUACUAGAGGAGGAAGUAGAGGUACUAGAGGAGGAGGUAGAGGUACUAGAGGAGGUAGUAGAGGUACUAGAGGAGGUAGUAGAGGUACUAGAGGAGGAAGUAGAGGUACUAGAGGAGGAAGUAGAGGUACUAGAGAGACUAGAGAAGAAAUAAGAGCUGAGACCAUUUUCUUCUAGUUGACCUAUGAUCACCUGGGUUACACCAAGAAAACCAUGACAAACCAUUUACCAUGGUCAAGAUAAGGUCUGGGUUGGGUUUAAGAUUUUGGUAAGGGACAAUUAGAUAUAUUAUAACAAAA